rnacentral:rRNA from 1 species
AUUGAACACUGGCGGCGUGCCUAACACAUGCAAGUCGAGCGGUAACAGGUGUAGCAAUACAUGCUGACGAGCGGCGAACGGGUGAGUAAUGCUUCGGAAUCUACCUUAUGGUGGGGAAUAACUAGCCGAAAGGUUAGCUAAUACCGCAUACGUCCUACGGGAGAAAGCAGGGGAUCGCAAGACCUUGCGCCAAAAGAUGAGCCGAAGUCGGAUUAGCUAGUUGGUAGGGUAACGGCCUACCAAGGCGACGAUCCGUAGCUGGUCUGAGAGGACGACCAGCCACACUGGGACUGAGAAACGGCCCAGACUCCUACUGGAGGCAGCAGUGGGGAAUAUUGGACAAUGGGGGAAACCCUGAUCCAGCGACGCCGCGUGUGUGAAGAAGGCCUGCGGGUUGUAAAGCACUUUUAGUGGGGAUGAAAUGUGCAGGGUUAAUACCUCUGCAUUUUGACCUAACCCACAGAAAAAGCACCGGCUAACUCUGUGCCAGCCGCCGCAGUAA